CUACGGGAGGCAGCAGUGGGGAAUAUUGGACAAUGGGCGAAAGCCUGAUCCAGCAAUACCGCGUGUGUGAAGAAGGCCUGCGGGUUGUAAAGCACUUUCAGUUGGGAAGAUGAUGACGUUACCAACAGAAGAAGCACCGGCUAACUCCGUGCCAGCAGCCGCGGUAAUACGGAGGGUGCAAGCGUUAAUCGGAAUUACUGGGCGUAAAGCGCGCGUAGGUGGUUUAUUAAGUCAGAUGUGAAAGCCCUGGGCUUAACCUGGGAACUGCAUUUGAUACUGGUAGGCUAGAGUAUGGUAGAGGGAAGUGGAAUUCCAGGUGUAGCGGUGAAAUGCGUAGAUAUCUGGAGGAACAUCAGUGGCGAAGGCGACUUCCUGGACCAAUACUGACACUGAGGUGCGAAAGCGUGGGUAGCAAACAGGAUUAGAUACCCUGGUAGUCCACGCUGUAAACGAUGUCAACUAGCCGUUGGGUCCAUUUAAGGGCUUAGUGGCGCACUAACGCGAUAAGUUGACCGCCUGGGGAGUACGGCCGCAAGGUUAAAACUCAAAGGAAUUGACGG
rnacentral:rRNA from 1 species